UCUAAAUUAGUAUAAGUUUAUUAUGUCUGUUUUUCGUAUGGGCGAUAAAGUAAUUUUAUUUAGAU
rnacentral:tRNA from 1 species